rnacentral:rRNA from 1 species
UACGUAGGGUGCGAGCGUUGUCCGGAAUUACUGGGCGUAAAGAGCUCGUAGGUGGUUUGUCGCGUUGUUCGUGAAAACUCACAGCUUAACUGUGGGCGUGCGGGCGAUACGGGCAGACUGGAGUACUGCAGGGGAGACUGGAAUUCCUGGUGUAGCGGUGGAAUGCGCAGAUAUCAGGAGGAACACCGGUGGCGAAGGCGAGUCUCUGGACAUUUCCUGACGCUGAGGCACGAAAGCCAGGGGAGCAAACAGG